rnacentral:rRNA from 1 species
CUACGGGUCGCUGCAGUAGGGAAUAUUGGACAAUGGGCGAAAGCCUGAUCCAGCAACACCGCGUGCACGAUGACGGCCUUCGGGUUGUAAAGUGCUUUUAGAGGAGAUGAGAAAGGACAGUAUCCUCUGAAUAAGCCUCGGCGAACUACGUGCCAGCAGCCGCGGUAAAACGUAGGAGGCAAGCGUUAUCCGGAUUUAUUGAGCGUAAAGCGCGUGCAGGCGGUCUAGCAAGUUGGAUGUGAAAGCUCCCGGCUCAACUGGGAGAGGUCGUUCAAUACUGUUAGACUAGAGAAUAGGAGAGGGACGUGGAAUUCCGGGUGUAGUGGUGAAAUGCGUAGAUAUCCGGAGGAACACCAGUGGCGAAAGCGGCCUCCUGGACUAUUUCUGACGCUAAGACGCGAAAGCUAGGGUAGCAAACGGGAUUAGAUACCCCUGUAGUC